UACGUAGGGCGCAAGCGUUGUCCGGAAUUAUUGGGCGUAAAGAGCGUGUAGGCGGUCAGGUAGGUCCGUUGUGAAAACUCGAGGCUCAACCUCGAGACGCCGAUGGAAACCAUCUGACUAGAGUCCGGAAGAGGAGAGUGGAAUUCCUGGUGUAGCGGUGAAAUGCGCAGAUAUCAGGAAGAACACCCGUGGCUAAGGCGGCUCUCUAGUACGGUACUGACGCUGAGACGCGAAAGCGUGGGGAUCAAACAGG
rnacentral:rRNA from 1 species